rnacentral:rRNA from 1 species
GUACCUACGGGAGGCAGCAGUGGGGAAUAUUGCACAAUGGGGGGAACCCUGAUGCAGCGACGCCGCGUGAGUGAAGAAGUAUUUCGGUAUGUAAAGCUCUAUCAGCAGGGAAGAAAAUGACGGUACCUGACUAAGAAGCCCCGGCUAACUACGUGCCAGCAGCCGCGGUAAUACGUAGGGGGCAAGCGUUAUCCGGAUUUACUGGGUGUAAAGGGGGCGCAGACGGCGAUGCAAGCCAGGAGUGAAAGCCCGGGGCCCAACCC